rnacentral:rRNA from 1 species
GUGCACCAGGCGCGCAAACUCCGCAAUGCGCGAAAGGGUGACGAGGGAACCCCAAGUGCUUCCGUUUUACGGAAGCUUUUCUCUGGCUUAGGAAACCAGGGGAAUAAGAGCUGGGUAAGACCGGUGCCAGCCGCCGCGGUAACACCGGCAGCUCAAGUGGUCGCCACGUUUAUUGGACCUAAAGCGUUCGUAGCCGGAUAUGUAAGUCUCCAGGUAAAUCGUGCGUCUAAUCGUACGGCUUCUGGAGAUACUGCAUGUCUUGAGGCCGGGAGAGGUGGGAGGUACUCCAGGGGUAGCGGUAAAAUGCUAUAAUCCUUGGGGGACCACCGGUGGCGAAGGCGUCCCACUGGAACGGCCCUGACGGUGAGGAACGACAGCCAGGGGCGCAAACGGGAUUAGAUACCCCGCGUAGUCC